rnacentral:rRNA from 1 species
CUACGUGCCAGCAGCCGCGGUAAUACGUAGGGUGCAAGCGUUAAUCGGAAUUACUGGGCGUAAAGCGCACGCAGGCGGUCUGUCAAGACGGAUGUGAAAUCCCCGGGCUCAACCUGGGAACUGCAUUCGAAACUGGCAGGCUAGAGUCUUGUAGAGGGGGGUAGAAUUCCAGGUGUAGCGGUGAAAUGCGUAGAGAUCUGGAGGAAUACCGGUGGCGAAGGCGGCCCCCUGGACAAAGACUGACGCUCAGGUGCGAAAGCGUGGGGAGCAAACAGGAUUAGAUACCCUGGUAGUCCACGCCCUAAACGAUGUCAACUAGUUGUUGGGGAUUCAUUUCCUUAGUAACGUAGCUAACGCGUGAAGUUGACCGCCUGGGGAGUACGGUCGCAAGAUUAAAACUCAAAGGAAUUGACGGGGACCCGCACAAGCGGUGGAUGAUGGGAUUAAUUCGAUGCAACGCGAAAAACCUUACCUACCCUUGACA